rnacentral:rRNA from 1 species
UACGGGGGGAGCAAGCGUUGUUCGGAUUUACUGGGCGUAAAGGGCGCGUAGGCGGCGCGACAAGUCACUUGUGAAAUCUCCGGGCUUAACUCGGAGCGGCCAAGUGAUACUGUCGUGCUAGAGUGCGGAAGGGGCAACUGGAAUUCUCGGUGUAGCGGUGAAAUGCGUAGAUAUCGAGAGGAACACCUGCGGCGAAGGCGGGUUGCUGGGCCGACACUGACGCUGAAGCGCGAAAGCCAGGGGAGCGAACGGG